UUUGCCUUUCGGUACGGGAUAACGUCUGGAAACGGACGCUAAUACCGUAUGAUGUCUACGGACUAAAGAUUUAUCGCCGAGAGAUGAGCCCGCGUAGGAUUAGGUAGUUGGUGGGGUAAUGGCCUACCAAGCCUACGAUCUUUAGCUGGUCUGAGAGGACGAUCAGCCACACUGGAACUGAGACACGGUCCAGACUCCUACGGGAGGCAGCAGUGGGGAAUAUUGGACAAUGGGGGCAACCCUGAUCCAGCCAUGCCGCGUGAGUGAAGAAGGCCUUAGGGUUGUAAAGCUCUUUCGCUAGGGAAGAUAAUGACGGUACCUAGUAAAGAAGUCCCGGCUAACUCCGUGCCAGCAGCCGCGGUAAUACGGAGGGGACUAGCGUUGUUCGGAAUUACUGGGCGUAAAGAGUACGUAGGCUGUUUGUCAAGUUGGGUGUGAAAGCCCGGGGCUCAACCCCGAACUGCACUCAAAACUGGCAGGCUAGAGAUCGGAAGAGGUAAGUGGAAUUCCCAGUGUAGAGGUGAAAUUCGUAGAUAUUGGGAAGAACACCAGUGGCGAAGGGGCUUACUGGUCCGAUACUGACGCUGAGGUACGAAAGCGUGGGGAGCAAACAGGAUUAGAUACCCUGGUAGUCCACGCCGUAAACGAUGAAUGCUAGUUGUUGGGAGGUUUACCUUUCAGUGACGCAGCUAACGCAUUAAGCAUUCCGCCUGGGGAGUACGGUCGCAAGAUUAAAACUCAAGGAAUUGACGGGGGCCCGCACAAGCGUGGAGCAUGUGGUUUAAUUCGAAGCAACGCGCAGAACCUUACCAGCCCUUGACAUGGGUAGUAUGAUUACCAGAGAUGGUUUUCUUCAGUUCG
rnacentral:rRNA from 1 species